GGUCCUCAUUUCUUCAAGAGUAUAUUAAACUACUAUUAAUGAUACUUGUGAUAUAAUGUUGCAAAAGUGUGACAUUUAAGUUGCUGUUCCCUGAAAAAUAAUUUAUUAAAACUUCACAUCAGUAGUGUUGGUUUUUCCAUAAAAAUGUGUAGAAACGAGGGAAAGCAGUGAAAACAGAUUUCAAGUAGACUUUACAAACUCAGCAUGAUGACCAUAAUGAUUAAUUAUAUAUCAAAAUGCAUAUUUAGAUGUAUCAAUAUAAGAAGGAUCUUUAUCAGAGCCAGGCCUCUGUCUGGAAUGUGCUAAAUGUUGCCCGGCUGCUCCCAACACAAACCCAAACAGUGGUGUGUGAUCCAGCUGGACUCAGACAGCCAAUGCCAGAAUUUCAGCGAUGCCCUAACAGACCUAAUCUGCCCUGAUCCCAGAAAUGAGGCCUGCGGUGUCGGGGCCCGUAAGCCUUUUAAGCUGCCUUCCUUAGCAUUCAUUGCUUUUUAAUGGACAGUCUGAAGGGGUUACAAUUGAAACCAUUUACAAGUGACACAAUACAGCUAUACAUAGCAAGUUCCAAAUACAAAAUGGACAUACUUGACUUCAUCAAGGUGGCAUGGAAGCCAGAUCUCCAAAUAUAGGAGAACAAAGCCCCACGAAACAGGCCGGACCAGCGCUUAUAAAGGCAGUUUAAGACUUGUUAGGGUGAGGGACGUCUGUGCUGUCCUUCUGAGACAAUAAGCAGUAGAGAGCGGGAGAUCUUCUUUUAGGUCUGCAACACUCUGGUAAGUAUGAUGAUGAUGAUGAAUUCACAACAUCUUUUUGUUGUCCUGUUUGAGAACAUUUGUUUUCUCGCUCUUGCAGCCAGAUAAAAUGAGCGACGCCGAGAUGGAAAUAUUUGGGGUGGCUGCCCCUUACCUCCGCAAAUCAGAGCGGGAGAGAAUCGCAGCACAAAACAUGCCGUUUGAUGCCAAAACAGCAGUGUUCGUGCCCGACCCGAAGCAGGAGUAUGUGAAGGGGAAGAUCAGAAGCCAAGAUGGAUCCAGUGUCACCGUGGAGACUGAGGACGCAAAGAUUGUCACGGUGCACCUGGACGACAUCCGGCCCAUGAACCCUCCGAAGUUUGACAAGCUGGAGGACAUGGCUCUGCUCACACAUCUGCACGAACCUGCCGUGCUAUUCAACCUCAAGGAGCGCUACGCCGCCUGGAUGAUCUACACCUACUCUGGGCUCUUCUGUGUGACUGUGAAUCCCUAUAAGUGGCUUCCAGUCUACAACCCGGAGGUGGUGUCUGGGUACCGUGGGAAGAAACGUCAGGAGGCCCCCCCGCACAUCUUCUCCAUCUCUGACAGCGCUUACCAGUACAUGCUCAAAGAUCGUGAGAACCAGUCUAUCCUGAUCACUGGAGAAUCUGGUGCCGGGAAGACCGUCAACACCAAGAGAGUCAUCCAGUACUUUGCAACAAUUGCAUCGGUCGGAGACUCGAGCAAGAAAGAGCAACUUCCCGGAAAAAUGCAGGGGAAUCUGGAGGAUCAGAUCAUCCAGGCCAACCCUCUGCUCGAAGCUUUUGGGAACGCCAAGACUGUGAGGAACGACAACUCCUCUCGCUUUGGAAAGUUCAUUCGCAUCCACUUUGGAACAAAGGGGAAGUUGGCCUCAGCUGAUAUUGAAACGUACCUUUUGGAGAAAUCCAGAGUGACCUUUCAGCUGCCAGCAGAGAGGAGCUACCACAUCUUCUAUCAGAUCAUGUCAAACAAGAAGCCUGAAUUAAUCGACAUGAUGCUGAUUACCACCAACCCGUACGACUACCCUUUCAUCAGCCAGGGGGAACUCACUGUGCUGAGCAUCAACGACACUGAGGAGCUGAUGGCCACUGAUAAAGCCAUCGACAUCCUGGGGUUCAACGCGGAGGAAAAGGUUGGCAUCUACAAGCUGACUGGUGCUGUGAUGCAUUAUGGGAACAUGAAGUUCAAGCAGAAGCAGCGAGAGGAGCAGGCGGAGCCCGACGGCACAGAGGUGGCUGACAAAGUGGCCUACCUGAUGGGCAUGAACUCUGCAGAUCUGCUGAAGGCGCUCUGCUAUCCUAGAGUGAAGGUGGGGAAUGAGUAUGUCACCAAGGGACAGACUCCUCAGCAGGUGAACAACGCCAGUGGGGCUCUGUCUAAGGCGGUGUAUGAGAAGCUGUUCCUGUGGAUGGUCACCAGGAUCAACCAGCAGCUGGACACCAAACUACCAAGACAGCAUUUUAUUGGCGUCCUGGACAUCGCAGGGUUCGAGAUUUUUGAGAUGAACAGCCUGGAGCAAAUGUGCAUCAACUUCACCAACGAGAAGCUGCAACAGUUUUUCAACCACCACAUGUUUGUGUUGGAGCAAGAGGAGUACAAAAAGGAAGGGAUUGUGUGGGAGUUCAUUGACUUUGGCAUGGACUUGGCAGCCUGCAUUGAGCUCAUUGAAAAGCCGAUGGGCAUUUUCUCUAUCCUCGAGGAGGAGUGCAUGUUUCCAAAGGCAACAGACGGCUCCUUCAAGAACAAGCUGUACGACCAGCACCUGGGGAAGAACAGCAUCUUCCAGAAGCCCAAGCCCUCCAAAGGAAAGGCUGAAGCCCACUUCUCCCUGGUGCAUUACGCCGGCACCGUGGACUACAACCUGAGCGGCUGGCUGGAGAAGAACAAAGACCCGCUCAACGACACCGUGGUGCAGCUUUACCAGAAAGCCUCCCUGAAGCUGCUCUCACAGCUCUUCGCAACAUACUCCACUGCUGACGCUGAUGGAAGUAAGAGAAGUGCCAAGAAAAAAGGAUCUUCUUUUCAGACGGUUUCAGCACUUUUCAGGGAAAACCUGAAUAAACUGAUGUCCAACCUGCGUUCCACACAGCCACACUUUGUGAGAUGCAUCAUCCCCAAUGAAACCAAGACACCAGGCUCCAUGGAUCACCAGCUGGUCCUUCACCAGCUGCGCUGUAAUGGCGUGUUGGAAGGAAUCAGGAUCUGCAGGAAGGGAUUCCCCAGCAGGAUCCUCUAUGGGGAUUUCAGGCAGAGAUACAGGAUUUUGAACGCCAGUGCGAUCCCGGAGGGGCAGUUUAUCGACAGCAAGAAGGCUUCAGAGAAACUUCUCUCUUCUAUCGAUGUGGACCAUGCCCAGUAUCGAUUUGGAUACACAAAGGUGUUUUUCAAAGCGGGCCUGCUGGGUCUCCUGGAGGAGAUGAGGGAUGAGCGUCUGGCUGUGCUGAUGACUCGAAUCCAGGCCGUUUCCAGAGGCUACGUCACCAGGCUGCGGCUGACGGAGAUGUCAAAGAAAAGAGAGUCCGUUUACAUCAUCCAGUACAACAUCCGUUCUUUCAUGAAUGUGAAGAACUGGCCUUGGAUGAGACUCUUCUUCAAGAUAAAGCCUCUGUUACGAAGCGCAGAGGCCGAGAAGGAGAUGCAGAACAUGAAAGAGGCGUUCUCUCGACUCAAAGAGGAGUUUGCAAAGUCGGAGGCAAGGAGGAAGGAGCUGGAGGAGAAAAUGGUCAUGCUCUUCCAGGAGAAGAACGACCUUUACCUUCAAAUCCAAGCGGAAAGGGAGAACCUGUGCGAUGCCGAGGAGCGGUGCGAAGGUUUGAUAAAGAGCAAGAUCCACCUGGAGGCCAAAGUCAAAGAGUUCUCCGAGAGGAUGGAGGAAGAGGAGGACAUCAACGCAGAAAUCACUGCCAAGAGGAGGAAGCUGGAGGACGAAUGCACUGAGCUCAAGAGAGACAUCGAUGACCUGGAGCUCACCAUCGCUAAAGUGGAGAAGGAGAAAUAUGCCACGGAAAAUAAGGUAAAAAACUUGGUAGAGGAGCUCAGUAGUCUUGAGGAAAAACAGCUGAAGUCUUCAAAGGCGAUCAAAGCUCUGCAGGAGGUGCACCAGCAGACGUUAGACGACCUCCAGGCCGAGGAGGACAAAGUGAACACUCUGAUGAAGAACAAAAUCAAGCUGGAGCAACAGGUUGAUGACCUGGAGGGCUCGCUGGAGCAGGAGAAGAAGGUGAGUGCAGACUUGGAGAGAUUCAGGAGAAAACUGGAGGGGGAUCUGAAGCUGUCCCAAGAAACCACCAUGGACCUGGAGAAUGAAAGGCAGCAAACGGAGGAGAGACUGAAAAAAAAGGACUUUGAAAUCAGCGAUCUGCAGAGCAAAGUCGAUGUUGACCAAGUUCUGAAUACCCAACUACAAAAGAAAAUUAAAGAGCUUCAGGCUCGCACUGAAGAGUUAGAAGAAGCAAUAGAGUCUGAGCGCUCGGCUCGAGCCAAAGUGGAGAAGCAGCGAUGUGAUCUGUCCCGAGAGCUGGAGGAGAUCAGCGAGAGGCUGGAUGAGGCCGGGGGGGCCACCGCCGCUCAGGCCGAGAUGAACAAGAAGCGCGACGCCGAUUUUCAGAGGCUGCGUCGUGAUCUGGAGGAAUCCACCCUGCAGCACGAUGCCAUCGCCGCAACUCUGCGCAAGAAACAGGCCGACAGUGUGGCCGAACUCAGCGAGCAGAUCGAAAACCUCCAGAGAGUCAAGCAGAAACUGGAGAAGGAGAAAAGUGAGCUGAAGAUGGAAAUCGACGACAUGGCGUGCAACACGGAGAGUGUCCUGAAAAGCAAGGCUCAUCUGGAGAAACUGUGCAGGAGCCUUGAAGAUCAGAUGAAUGAAUAUAAAACCAAAGCAGACGAAGCCCAGAGGUCUCCGAGUGAUUACACAACGCUCAGUGCUCGCCAAACAACUGAAAAUGGUGAGCUAACCCGUAUGCUGGAGGAGAAGGAGAUCACUCUGUCGCAGCUGAACAGAAUCAAAAACGUCGGAGGUCAACAGAUUGAAGAGUUGAAGCGACUCUUGGAUGAGGAAACUAAGACAAAGAACGCCCUGGCGCACGCUUUGCAGUCGUCUCGACACGACUGUGAGCUGCUGAGGGAGCAGUAUGAGGAGGAGCAGGAGGCCAAAGGGGAGCUGCACCGCUGCCUGUCCAAAGCCAACAGCGACGUGUCCCAGUGGAGGACCAAAUACGAGACGGACGCCAUCCAACGCACCGAGGAGCUGGAGGAGGCUAAGAAGAAGCUGGCUCAGCGGCUGCAGGAGUCUGAGGAAAUGACAGAGGCAGCUAAUGUCAAAUGUGCAUCUCUGGAUAAAACCAAGCUGAGGCUGCAGGCGGAGGUGGAGGAUCUCAUGGUGGAGCUGGAAAGGUCAAAUGCAGCUAAUGCGGCGUUGGACAAGAAACAGAGAAACUUUGACAAGGUUCUGGUUGAAUAUAAACAGAAACAUGAGGAGAGUCAGUCAGAUCUGGAGGUUUCCCAGAGAGAGUCUCGAGUGUUGAGCACAGACCUUUUCAAACUGAAAAAUUCCUACGAAGAGGCUUUGGAUCAUCUGGAGUCGAUGAAAAGAGAGAAUAAAAACCUUCAGCAGGAGAUUACAGAAAUCACAGAGCAAGUCGGACAAUCUACUAACAUAUGUCAUGAGCUGGAGAAAGUUGCAAAGCAAGCCGAGCAGGAGAGGAGAGAAACCCAGGCGACUCUGGAGGAAGUGGAGUUCAACCUGGAACACGAGGAGGCAAAGAUCCUGCACCUUCAACUGGAGCUGAACCAGAUCAAGUCAGAGGUGGACGGAAAGGUGUCUGAGAAGGACGAGGAAAUCAACCAGCUCAAGAGGAAUAACCAGAGGACCGUGGACACUCUGCAGAGCACGCUGGACGCCGAGACGCGCAGCAGGAACGAUGCCAUGCGGAUGAAGAAGAAGAUGGAGGGGGAUCUGAACGAGAUGGAGGUCCAGCUGAGUAACGCAAACCGCCAGGCGUCCGAGGCCACCAAACAGCUGAGGAACCUGCAGGCGCAGCUGAAGGACGUCCAGGUCCACCUGGAUGAAGCGCUCCUGUGUCAGGAGGACUUCAGGGAGCAGCUAGCCAUCACAGAGCGCCGCACCAACCUCCUGAUAGCGGAGAACGAGGAGAUCAAGGCGGCGCUGGAGCAAUCUGAGAGAAGUCGCAAGCUGGCCGAGCAGGAAGUGAUCGACUUCAGCCAGAGGAUUCAGCUGCUGCACUCUCAGAACUCCAGCCUCAUAAACACCAAGAAGAAGAUGGAGUCAGAUUUAUCUCAGCUGCAGUCAGAGAUGGAGGAUACCGUCCAGGAGGCGAGGAACGCCGAUGAGAAGGCCAAAAAAUCUAUUAUGGAUGCUGCCAUGAUGGCGGAGGAGCUGAAGAAGGAGCAGGACACCAGCUCUCACCUGGAGAGGAUGAAGAAGAACCUGGAGGUGUCAGUGAAGGAUCUGCAGAAGCGUCUGGAGGAGGCCGAGCAGCUGGCUCUGAAAGGCGGGAAGAAAGAGCUUCAAAAUCUGGAAGCCAGGGUGCGUGAGCUGGAAAAUGAAUUGGAUUCAGAACAGAAACGCAGCAGCGAGGCCAUGAAAGGGUGAGGAGGAGAAGAAGAGCGUGGCAAGACUUCAGGAUUUAGUCAACAAACUGCAGCUGAAAGUAAAAGUGUACAAGCGGCAGAGUGAGGAAGCGGAGGAACAAACCGGCGUCCAUUUGGCGAAAGCUCGAAAGGUGCAACAUGAACUGGAGGAAGCGGAGGAACGAGCCGACACGGCAGAAUCCCAGUUGAAUAAGUUACGAU